rnacentral:rRNA from 1 species
AUUGAACGCUGGCGGCAGGCUUAACACAUGCAAGUCGAGCGGGGGAGGUUGCUUCGGUAACUGACCUAGCGGCGGACGGGUGAGUAAUGCUUAGGAAUCUGCCUAUUAGUGGGGGACAACAUUCCGAAAGGGAUGCUAAUACCGCAUACGCCCUACGGGGGAAAGCAGGGGAUCUUCGGACCUUGCGCUAAUAGAUGAGCCUAAGUCGGAUUAGCUAGUUGGUGGGGUAAAGGCCUACCAAGGCGACGAUCUGUAGCGGGUCUGAGAGGAUGAUCCGCCACAAGGGGACUGGGACACGGCCCAGACUCCUACGGGAGGCAGCAGUGGGGAAUAUUGGACAAUGGGCGGAAGCCUGAUCCAGCCAUGCCGCGUGUGUGAAGAAGGCCUUUUGGUUGUAAAGCACUUUAAGCGAGGAGGAGGCUCUUAAGGUUAAUACCCUUGAUGAGUGGACGUUACUCGCAGAAUAAGCACCGGCUAACUCUGUGCCAGCAGCCGCCGUAACAC